UUUUAAAAUUUUUAUCUGUAAGAACCCCUUUUGGGGACCCCCACUCUUGUCUUGGGAGAGAGAGUGCACCCAAAGAAGCACAAGAAUCC
rnacentral:pre_miRNA from 7 species